GAAUGAUACAUGCUCUUCCGAAACGGGUAAUAAAUAUUAUCUUCCUUAGUUUCCUGUUACCAUUUUUUGGGUUGUACAUAGACCAGAAAAUAGAAGGGCUUAAUUUUUCUCCGUCCUUGAAGGUGUAUGAGUUAACAACCUGUAUUUUGGAAAAGAAAUUGUAGAUUUGUAGAAUGACUCUCAUGAAUGAAUCAUCUUCUGCACAUUGGCUGAAAACCCUGUCCCAUCUAAUUAUCAUUUCAUAUUUGCUUAUAAGGAAAAAGAUAAGGGAUAUGGCUUAAAAAAAAAUCUGCAUUUGCCCGGAUGCUCCAAAAGAAAAUAAUUGGAGUAAUAACAAAAAGAUGCCAUUCCACAUGUUUCAACCAAAAAUAGGGGGAAAACAACUUAAACAAGUAGCGAUUAACACCAAGGCACUAUAAAAUUCAAUCUGGAAGAAUUUAAGCAAGAAUUUUCAUGUCAAAGUUACUCCUUUUUCUCCAUAUUUCUAUUUUUGUAAUAACCACAUCUAAACAUAAAUUACUCAGUAAAAGAUAAAAUAAAUUAGAA
rnacentral:misc_RNA from 1 species